AGCAGCCGCGGUAAUUCCAGCUCCAAUAGCGUAUAUUAAAGUUGUUGCAGUUAAAAAGCUCGUAGUUGAAUUUCGGGACCAAUAUGUCGGUCGUGCUUCGGUACGUACUUGCAUUAUUGGUUUCUCCCUUCUGAAGAACCUUGAUGUCAUUAAUUUGGUGUCUUGGGGAAUCAGGACUGUUACUUUGAAAAAAUUAGAGUGUUUAAAGCAGGCUCGCGCUUGAAUACAUUAGCAUGGAAUAAUGAAAUAGGACGUUUGAUUCUAUUUUGUUGGUUUCUAGGAUCGACGUAAUGAUUAAUAGGGAUAGUUGGGGGCAUUAGUAUUCAAUUGUCAGAGGUGAAAUUCUUGGAUUUAUUGAAGACUAACUACUGCGAAAGCAUUUGCCAAGGAUGUUUUCAUUAAUCAAGAACGAAAGUUAGGGAUCGAAGACGAUCAGAUACCGUCGUAGUCUUAACCAUAAACUAUGCCGAUAGGGAUCGGAUGAUGUUAUUUUUGAUUGACUCAUUCGGCUACCCG
rnacentral:rRNA from 1 species